rnacentral:lncRNA from 1 species
UCAUUUUGAUUUAUUGUUUUUUUUUUUACAAACAGAUAUGUCCAUCAAUCACUCUUUCACUUAUCAAGAGAAUACUAUGCAACUUCACUCCUGAUGAGUUCUGUCCAGAAGAUGUACCUGGAGCUGUCCUAGAAGAGCUAAAUGCCGCCGAGGUACAAUCAGAAGAAGCAAGCUUCCCUUAUGCGGCUUCUUCUGUUACUUACAAGCCUCCAUCGACCAUGGAUGUAGCGGAGAAAGUUGCGGAGGCUGCAGGGAAGUUGUCGAGGAAUGUGUCUAUGAUACAGAGGAAAGGGUACACGAGCGACGAGGAGCUUGAGGAGCUGGACUCUCCUCUUACAUCUAUUGUUGAUAAAACGAGUGAGUUUAAUGAUUCUGCGACCUCAAAUGCAAGAUACAAUCUCCUUCGACAAGUGUGGGCUUAGUUAUUUAUGUUGUUACAUAGAUACUCUUAAUGAAGAAGGGACUCAUUGUAAUAACUUUUGUGUAAUUUUUUCAAGAACAGUUUGGGAGAGAUCUAAGAGAAAAAAUGACAUUGUUUAUAUUCUUAAACAAGCAUUAUCAUUUUAAGUUCUUUGGCAACUUCAAUCAUCUUUGGAACUUCUUCUCCUACACAGCCAAUGCAUCACAGUGAGAGUAUAAAGAAAGUCUUAAACUGCCAUGUCUCUUCUUCCUUGCAGCUCUCCAACACCUUUGGAUCAACAAUCCCAACAAAUCCACCAUCUUCAACCAACUCUAUAGGAGAAUCCUUGUACAGUUUGACAACAAGACUCGGUUGCAAAGCAGUCAAAAGAGUAAUCAUGAAUGCUCCAAAGCCAUAGACAUCAGUGUUCUCUGUCACUACCCCAGUAGCCAUAUAGUUGUGAUCAAGGCUUUUGAGUAUCUUCAGUUGUGGUAUUUGCUAAAAUUUUACUGCUCAUUGCAUCAGUGCUGGAUGUUUUGAACAAUUCAGUGAUGGCUAAUAGUGUCGUAUUAGGAUGUGUGGAUAUUGAAUUGUGAGCAUUUUAGCAAAUAUUGAGCUUUCGAAAUAGUUGUUUGCAUGCUUGGGGGAAUUGAUAAAUUGGGUAUCAAUCAAGGAGCUUGUUCUUGAAUCAGUGGCAAGUUUGGAGUUGAGGUGAACUUCACUCAAUGUUGGGCUGAUAAGGUUUAGAAAUCAUGGCAGCUUACAAGUAAUGCCAUUUCAAGUAGUAUUACUCAUAGGUUCUUUGUCUCUGGUCCAUGAGCUUUCUAUUGAAUAAUGCCAUUUCAAGUAGUAUCAUUCGUGUAUCCCAAAUCUUGUGAUUAGUUUCCUUUAAGUGUGGUCUGACAGCAUCCUCUUUAAAUAUAGAGUAGUUCAAUGCCGUGUCUGUUUUUAGCGAGUUUCGUCUCAUCCUCUAAUUUCAUAAAUGAUGAAUUAAACAAAAUGAAAGAGAUUAGGAUUAAACAAACUCAGUUACCUUAUUGCAAGCAUUGUUGUUUAUUUGCCGUGUCUUCAAGUUGCAUCACAUCGGGAGGGGUGUUCUAGUCAUUCCUUCUCUCUGUGUGUAUGUCUCUCCCGAGAGUAUGAACACUGACACACGAUUUAGGCUUUGAUAUAUCAAUGAAACAAAACACGAUCACAUGUUUUUUUUACUGGAGACCCAAAUAAGAGUCCAGUGUAAAGCCAUGUGAAGAACCUUUGUCCUCUUAUCCAUUUUCUUCUGUACGUCUGACACGGUUUCUUUUGUUAAUUCCAAUUCAAGAACACUAUUUGAUGUCGGUGGAGUCAGUGAGAUGUGUUUGGACCAAAGAGAAAAGCACACUACUGUCAUUUAAAAAGAGAAGCUACUUUUUUCCGGGUUAUGUGACCGGCUAUUUCCAGUGAACAGUCUAGCCACCGACACAACCUUCCAUAGUUUCACGACCACAGUCACUGUCCCUUUCCGUACAGGAUCCAUGUUUUUCUUUCUUUCUUAAAUGCACCACCAUAACUUCCCCCACUCACUCGGAUCUCCCAUAGUGAGAGAAGAGAGAGAAGAUAGCUUCUUCUUUAUUGUGGUUUACAGAUAAAGACAGCUAAUCUCAGAGUAGAGACUUCACCCUCAGUAGAUUAAAGUAACCGAGGAAGACAACCUCCCAAAGUCACUGGUAAGCUCCUCUUCUUUUGCUUGUUGACUUCUCUUAGUCCUCAUGGUUGUUUCAUGCUCUGUUUCGCUCUCUGUUUACUAGUAUAUUUUCUUGGAUACUCUGGAUUUCAAUUAGUCUGAUUAGUUUUAAUCAUUCCUGUUAAAUCUGAUUAUUCUAGUAAAACCACUUACAUAUAGUGAAUCCAGCCAUGUUCUAUCAAAACAACUACGAACAAGUUGCUGGGACCUCUACUGCAGUUUAAGACAAAACUUAGCAAGACUGAACAUGUCCUUUUCUUCCUCCAUUAUAAGCUGUCGUUUUCAGUAACCUGAACAUAUCCAGCUGUGUUUUUUUUAAAUCCUUUCAUCUUUUAGAGGCUUAUCACAAGGGAAACACAGAUCUUGUUGAAUUGUUUUCUCACUUGGAAGUUGAAAGUAACUGUUGCUUUGGCUGAGAGCUUGAUGAUGAAGGCAAGAUCAGUGAACAAUGUCCAGUCAAAGCGAUCCACCAAGAGUGGAAGAAAAGACCAGAAGCUGCAGAAGACUAACAGCCAGAAAAAAUCAUCAGAACAAGAGAAACACAAGGAGGCCUUAGAGUCUAACAUCCUCACAACAGUGGCUAGUGACUCAACAACUCAGUCAGAUCCUUCCGAGGCUUACGAGACAGUAGACGUCCGCUACUUGGACGAUGUAACCGUAAGAAAGGAGAAAGAUGAAGCUGAUGAUGACGAACAAGAAGAAGUUAAAGGUGCCAAUGCUGAUGUGUGGGAAGAUGCUUCUAACGGCGCUCUUAGUGCCGGAAGCGAGAACGAGGCCCCUGAUGUAACAGAGAGUAUUGAGGAUGGAUCUUUGAAAGAGAAGAUUGAGCAUCUUGAGACGAGAAUCGAGAGACUUGAAGAGGAGCUUAGAGAAGUCGCUGCACUCGAGGUUUCUCUCUACUCUGUCGUCCCUGACCAUUCCAGCUCUGCGCACAAGCUUCAUACUCCUGCUAGGCGUAUCUCUAGAAUCUACAUUCAUGCUUGUAAGCAUUUCGCUAGAGGGAGGCGAGCUACCAUCGCUAGAAACUCUGUUUCUGGUCUGGUUUUGGUUGCUAGAUCUUGUGGGAAUGAUGUUUCAAGGUAAAGAAAAAAAAACAAAUACUCUUAAUGUUUUUUAACAUGUUUCAGGAUCUUGAUUCUUGGUUUUUCUCAAACUCUUUUAGGUUGACGUUUUGGUUAUCGAACAUUAUAACUCUAAGGGAGAUUAUUUCGCAAGCGUUUGGUAAGUCUCGUGUCACGGAGAGCUCUGAAGCUAAUAAUGGGAGUGAGAAUGGUGGUGAUUCAGGGAAGAAGACGAACUUGAGAUGGAAGAAUGGUUUGCAAGAGCUUCUUGAGGAUUGGCAAGAAACUGAAACGUUCACCGCUGCUUUGGAGAAAGUAGAGCUUUGGGUCUUCUCUAGAAUCGUGGAGUCUGUUUGGUGGCAGGUAUAAACACAAGAGAUUGAGAUUCUUUUUAAGUUUGUGUAUGUAACAACAUCUCACUCUUGUUCUCUUAUCUUUAAGGUCUUUACUCCUCAUAUGCAAUCCCCUGAGAACAACAACUCUUCAGCUUCUAAAUCGAAUGAGAAGCAAGGAGCCUUUUCUAUUACCCUAUGGAAGAAUGCCUUUGGAGAUGCUCUGCAACGGCUUUGUCCUAUGAGAGGGGGAGGACAUGAAUGUGGCUGCUUACCUGUAUUGGCUAGAAUGGUGAUGGAGAAGUGUGUUGGUAGAUUUGAUAUAGCCAUGUUCAAUGCUAUUCUGCGCGAGUCAGAACAUCAGAUACCAACUGAUCCAGUCUCUGAUCCUAUUCUUGAUACCAGAGUUCUGCCUGUUCCUGCUGGAGACUUGAGCUUUGGAUCAGGAGCACAGCUCAAAAACGCGGUAACCAAAAUAAAACAAAGUUCAGUUUCUUUCAUAACCAUUAGAGAGUUGACUAAUGUAAUGUCACUAUAUUCUCCUGUUGCAGAUUGGUAACUGGUCUAGAUCCCUCACUGAAAUGUUCGGUAUGAACUCAGAUGAUGAUCAAGUAGAAAGUGAAGGCAGUGAUAGUAGUAAAGCCUUUGUGUUGUUAAAUGAACUUAGUGAUCUUCUUAUGCUCCCUAAAGACAUGCUUAUGGAAAGUUCCAUUAGAGAAGAGGUAUGAUGUUCUUUGGUUUAAGCCUCAUUACAUUCACAAGUUUUGUCAUUUUGAUUUAUUGUUUUUUUUUUUACAAACAGAUAUGUCCAUCAAUCACUCUUUCACUUAUCAAGAGAAUACUAUGCAACUUCACUCCUGAUGAGUUCUGUCCAGAAGAUGUACCUGGAGCUGUCCUAGAAGAGCUAAAUGCCGCCGAGGUACAAUCAGAAGAAGCAAGCUUCCCUUAUGCGGCUUCUUCUGUUACUUACAAGCCUCCAUCGACCAUGGACGUAGCGGAGAAAGUUGCGGAGGCUGCAGGGAAGUUGUCGAGG